rnacentral:rRNA from 1 species
CCUGAGAUCGGACGAGAUUACCCG